rnacentral:rRNA from 1 species
CACGGAGUUAGCCGAUCCUUAUUCCUUCGGUACAUUCAGCUCUCUACACGUAGAAAGGUUUAUUCCCGAAUAAAAAGCAGUUUACGACCCAGAGGGCUGUCUUCCUGCACGCGGCAUGGCUGGUUCAGAGUUGCCUCCAUUGACCAAUAUUCCUUACUGCUGCCUCCCGUAGGAGUCUGGUCCGUGUCUCAGUACCAGUGCGGGGGGUCAUCCUCUCAGAUCCCCUAGUCAUCGUCGCCUUGGUGGGCCGUUACCCCGCCAACUAGCUAAUGACACGCAUGCCCAUCUUAUUCCUAUAAAUAUUUGAUCAUUACUCAAUGCUGAGCUGUGAUUUUAUGCGGUAGUUAAUCCGUAAUUUUCUUCGGGCUUACUCCCCCUAGAACGUAAGGUAGGUUGUACAUACGCGUUACGCACCCGUGCCGCCU